rnacentral:rRNA from 1 species
UCCUACGGGAGGCAGCAGUGGGGAAUAUUGGACAAUGGGCGAAAGCCUGAUCCAGCCAUGCCGCGUGUGUGAAGAAGGUCUUCGGAUUGUAAAGCACUUUAAGUUGGGAGGAAGGGCAGUUACCUAAUACGUAAUUGUUUUGACGUUACCGACAGAAUAAGCACCGGCUAACUCUGUGCCAGCACCCGCGGUAAUA